GCUCCGGCUCCGCCGUGGGGCGCCCGCUCCCCGCCCUCCGGACGCCGCGCCCCGGGCCGCAGCCAUGAGCGAGAUGUCCAGCUUCCUGCACAUCGGGGACAUCGUCUCCCUGUACGCCGAGGGCUCGGUCAACGGCUUUAUCAGCACUUUGGGGCUGGUGGAUGACCGCUGUGUGGUGGAGCCUGCAGCUGGGGACCUGGACAACCCUCCGAAGAAGUUCCGAGACUGCCUCUUCAAGGUGUGCCCCAUGAACCGCUACUCCGCCCAGAAGCAGUACUGGAAGGCCAAGCAGAGCAAGCAGGACAAAGAGAAGAUUGCAGAUGUGGUGCUGCUGCAGAAACUGCAGCACGCAGCGCAGAUGGAGCGGAAGCAGAACGACACGGAGAACAAGAAGGCUCACGGGGACGUGGUGAAGUACGGUGGCGUGAUCCAGCUCCUGCACAUGAAGAGCAACAAGUACCUGACGGUGAACAAGCGACUCCCUGCGCUGCUGGAGAAAAACGCCAUGCGGGUGACGCUGGAUGCCACGGGCAACGAGGGCUCCUGGCUCUUCAUCCAGCCCUUCUGGAAGCUGCGGAGCAACGGGGACAACGUGGUCGUGGGGGACAAGGUGAUCCUGAACCCUGUCAAUGCAGGGCAGCCUCUGCACGCCAGCAACUAUGAGCUCAGUGACAACGCAGGCUGCAAGGAGGUCAACUCUGUGAACUGCAACACCAGCUGGAAGAUCAACCUGUUCAUGCAGUUCCGCGACCACCUGGAGGAGGUGUUGAAGGGGGGCGACGUGGUGCGGCUGUUCCACGCGGAGCAGGAGAAGUUCCUGACGUGUGAUGAGUACAAGGGCAAGCUGCAGGUGUUCCUGCGCACCACGCUGCGCCAGUCGGCCACCUCGGCCACCAGCUCCAACGCCCUCUGGGAGGUGGAGGUGGUCCACCAUGACCCCUGCCGUGGAGGUGCUGGCCACUGGAACGGCCUGUACCGCUUCAAACACCUGGCCACGGGCAACUACCUGGCUGCAGAGGAAAACCCCAGCUACAAAGGUGACGCCCCAGACCCCAAGGCAGCAGGAGCGGGCCGAGCGGGUCGCAGGAACGCCGGGGAGAAGAUCAAGUACCGCCUGGUGGCCGUGCCCCACGGCAGUGACAUCGCCUCUCUGUUUGAGCUGGACCCCACCACCCUGCAGAAGACUGACUCCCUCGUGCCAAGGAACUCCUAUGUGCGGCUGCGGCACCUGUGCACCAACACGUGGAUCCAGAGCACCAACGUGCCCAUAGACGCAGACGAGGAGCGGCCCAUCCGCCUCAUGCUGGGCACCUGCCCCACCAAGGAGGACAAGGAGGCCUUUGCCAUCGUGUCCGUGCCCGUGUCCGAGAUCCGCGACCUGGACUUUGCCAAUGACGCCAGCUCCAUGCUGGCCAGCGCCGUGGAGAAACUCAACGAGGGCUUCAUCAGCCAGAACGACCGCAGGUUCGUCAUCCAGCUGCUGGAGGACCUGGUGUUCUUUGUUAGUGACGUCCCCAACAAUGGGCAGAACGUCCUGGAUAUCAUGGUUGCCAAGCCCAACCGCGAGAGGCAGAAGCUGAUGAGGGAACAGAACAUCCUCAAGCAGAUCUUCGGCAUCCUGAAGGCCCCUUUCCGAGACAAGGGCGGCGAGGGCCCCCUCGUGCGGCUGGAGGAGCUGUCGGACCAGAAGAACGCCCCCUACCAGCACAUGUUCCGCCUCUGCUACCGUGUGUUGAGGCACUCGCAGGACGACUACCGCAAGAACCAGGAGCACAUUGCCAAGCAGUUCGGGAUGAUGCAGUCGCAGAUUGGCUACGACAUCCUGGCCGAGGACACCAUCACUGCCUUGCUGCACAACAACCGCAAGCUGCUGGAGAAGCACAUCACCAAGACCGAGGUGGAGACCUUCGUGAGCCUCGUGCGCAAGAACCGGGAGCCCAGGUUCCUGGACUACCUCUCGGACCUGUGUGUGUCCAACCACAUCGCCAUCCCCGUCACCCAGGAGCUCAUCUGCAAGUGUGUACUGGACCCCAAGAACAGCGACAUCCUCAUCCAGACCGAGCUGCGGCCGGUGAAGGAGAUGGCCCAGUCCCACGAGUACCUGAGCAUCGAGUACUCAGAGGAGGAGGUGUGGCUCACGUGGACCGACAAGAACAACGAGCAUCAUGAGAAGAGCGUGCGGCAGCUGGCCCAGGAGGCUCGGGCAGGCAAUGCCCACGACGAGAACGUGCUGAGCUACUACAGGUACCAGUUGAAGCUCUUCGCCCGCAUGUGCCUGGACCGCCAGUACCUGGCCAUUGACGAGAUCUCCCAGCAGUUGGGCGUGGACCUCAUCUUCCUGUGCAUGGCGGAUGAGAUGCUGCCCUUCGACCUGCGCGCCUCCUUCUGCCACCUGAUGCUGCACGUGCACGUGGACCGCGACCCCCAGGAGCUGGUCACGCCUGUCAAGUUCGCCCGCCUCUGGACCGAGGUCCCCACGGCCAUCACCAUCAAGGACUAUGACUCCAACCUCAACGCCUCCCGAGACGACAAGAAGAACAAGUUCGCCAGCACCAUGGAGUUCGUGGAGGACUACCUCAACAACGUGGUCAGCGAGGCUGUGCCCUUCGCCAACGAGGAGAAGAACAUGCUCACCUAUGAGGUGGUCAGCCUGGCACACAACCUCAUCUAUUUCGGCUUCUACAGCUUCAGCGAGCUACUGCGCCUCACACGCACGCUGCUGGCCAUUAUCGACUGUGUGCAGGGCCCCUCGGCCAUGCUGCAGGGCUACGAGGACCCGGGCGGCAAGAACGUGCGGCGGUCCAUCCAGGGCGUGGGCCACAUGAUGACCACCAUGGUGCUGAGCCGCAAGCCAUCGGUCGCUGGUCCUGGUGUGCCCGAGCCACUGGACAGGAGCAAGUUCGAGGACAAAGAGCACAUCGUAGUGAUGGAGACCAAGCUUAAGGUCCUGGAUAUCCUGCAGUUCAUCCUUAACGUGCGGCUGGACUACCGCAUCUCCUACCUGCUGUCGGUCUUUAAGAAGGAGUUCGUGGAGGUGUUUCCCAUGCAGGACAGCGGGGCCGACGGCACAGCGCCUGCCUUUGACUCCGCCACUGCCAACCUGAACCUGGACCGCAUUGGGGAGCAGGCCGAAGCAAUGUUCGGAGUGGGGAAGACGAGCAGCAUGCUGGAGGUGGACGACGAGGGCGGCCGCAUGUUCCUGCGCGUGCUCGUCCACCUCGCCAUGCACAACUACGCGCCGCUGGUCUCGGGUGCCCUGCAGCUGCUCUUCAAGCACUUCAGCCAGCGCCAGGAGGCCAUGCACACCUUCAAGCAGGUGCAGCUGCUGAUCUCGGCCCAGGACGUGGAGAACUACAAGGUGAUCAAGUUGGAGCUGGACCGGCUGCGGACCAUGGUGGAGAAGUCAGAGCUGUGGGUGGAGAAGAAGGGCAGCAGCAAGGGCGAGGUGGGCGAGGCGGCCGAGGCAGGCGCCGCCAAGGACAGGAAGGAGCGGCCCACGGCCGAGGAGGCCCCGGGGGAGAAGGGCAGCGAGAACUACCAGAUCGUCAGAGGCAUCCUGGAGCGGCUGAACAAGAUGUGUGGGGUCGGGGAGCAGAUGCGGAAGAAGCAGCAGCGCCUUCUGAAGAACAUGGAUGCCCACAAGGUCAUGCUGGACCUGCUGCAGGUCCCCUAUGACAAGGGUGAUGCCAAGAUGCUGGAGAUCCUGCGGCUCACGCACCAGUUCCUGCAGAAGUUCUGUGCCGGGAACCCGGGCAACCAGGCCCUGCUGCACAAGCACCUGCACCUCUUCCUCACGCCGGGGCUGCUGGAGGCGGAGACCAUGCAGCACAUCUUCCUGAACAACUACCAGCUGUGCUCCGAGGUCGGCGAGCCCGUGCUGCAGCACUUCGUGCACCUGCUGGCCACGCACGGGCGCCACGUGCAGUACCUGGACUUCCUGCACACGGUCAUCAAGGCCGAGGGCAAGUACGUGAAGAAAUGCCAGGACAUGAUCAUGACGGAGCUGACCAACGCAGGGGAUGAUGUGGUCGUGUUCUACAAUGACAAGGCCUCGCUGGCCCACCUGCUGGACAUGAUGAAGACCGCUCGUGACGGCGUGGAGGACCACAGCCCCCUAAUGUACCACAUCUCCCUGGUGGACCUGCUGGCCGCCUGUGCUGAAGGCAAGAAUGUCUACACUGAGAUCAAGUGCACGUCCCUGCUGCCUCUGGAGGACGUGGUGUCCGUGGUGACACAUGAGGACUGCAUCACCGAGGUGAAGAUGGCCUAUGUGAACUUCGUGAACCACUGCUACGUGGACACGGAGGUGGAAAUGAAGGAGAUCUACACCAGCAACCACAUCUGGACCCUCUUCGAGAGCUUCACCCUGGACAUGGCGCGGGUGUGCAACCGGCGUGAGAAGCGCCUGGCAGACCCUGCCCUGGAGAAGUAUGUGCUGACGGUUGUGCUGGACACCAUCAGUGCCUUCUUCAGCUCCCCCUUCUCUGAGAACAGCACCUCGCUGCAGACACACCAGACCAUCGUCGUGCAACUGCUGCAGUCCACCACGCGGCUGCUUGAGUGCCCGUGGCUGCAGCAGCAGCACAAGGGCUCCGUGGAGGCCUGCAUCCGAACCCUUGCCAUGGUGGCCAAGGGCCGGGCCAUCUCGCUGCCCAUGGACCUGGAUGCCCACAUCAGCGCGCUGCUCAGCAGUGGUGCCAGCUCUGCUGCAGCCGCCCAGCGCAACGCUGCCAGCUACAAGACAGCCACCCGGACCUUCCCCCGCCUCACCCCUGCCACCAACCAGUGGGACUACAAGAACAUCAUCGAGAAGCUGCAGGACAUCAUCACGGCCCUGGAGGAGCGGCUGAAGCCCCUGGUGCAGGCCGAGCUGUCCGUGCUGGUGGACGUCCUGCACUGGCCCGAGCUGCUCUUCCCGGAGGGCAGUGAGGCCUAUCAGCGCUGCGAGAGCGGGGGCUUCCUGUCCAAGCUGAUCCAGCACAGCAAGGGCCUCAUGGAGUCGGAGCAGAAGCUGUGCACCAAGGUGCUACGCACCCUGCAGCAGAUGCUGCUCAAGAGGAACAAGUAUGGUGACCGGGGCAACCAGCUGCGCAAGAUGCUGCUGCAGAACUACCUGCAGAACCGGAAGUCCAGCUCUCGUGGGGAGCUCCCAGACCCCAUGGGCACCGGCCUGGACCAAGACUGCUCAGCGAUCGGGGCCACCCAGUGCCGGCUGGACAAGGAGGGGGCCACCAAGCUGGUGUGUGACCUCAUCACUAGCACCAAGAAUGAGAAGAUCUUCCAGGAGAGCAUCGGCCUGGCCAUCCGCCUGCUGGAUGGGGGCAACACUGAGAUCCAGAAAUCCUUCUACAACUUGAUGACAAGUGACAAGAAGUCAGAACGCUUCUUCAAGGUGCUGCAUGACCGCAUGAAGCGGGCGCAGCAGGAGACCAAGUCCACGGUGGCCAUGAACAUGACCGACCUGGGUAGCCGGCCUCGGGAGGACCAUGAGCUGGCCGACCCCACCGCCAAAGGCCGCGUGACCUCCUUCUCCAUGCCUGGCUCCCCGUACUCGCUGGGCCCCAGCCUGCGCAGGGGGCAUGAGGCGAGUGAGCGCACACAGAGCAACGAGAUGGGCACAUCGGUGCUCAUCAUGCAGCCCAUCCUGCGCUUCCUGCAGCUGCUGUGUGAGAACCACAACCGCGACCUGCAGAACUUCCUGCGCUGUCAGAACAACAAGACCAACUACAACCUGGUGUGCGAGACGCUGCAGUUCCUGGACAUCAUGUGCGGCAGCACCACCGGAGGCCUGGGGCUGCUGGGGCUCUACAUCAACGAGGACAACGUGGGCCUUGUCACCCAGACCCUGGAGACCCUCACGGAGUACUGCCAGGGCCCCUGCCACGAGAACCAGACCUGCAUCGUGACGCACGAGUCCAACGGCAUAGACAUCAUCACGGCACUGAUCCUCAAUGACAUCAGCCCCCUGUGCAAGUACCGGAUGGACCUGGUGCUGCAGCUCAAGGACAACGCCUCCAAGCUGCUCCUGGCCUUGAUGGAGAGCCGGCACGACAGCGAAAAUGCAGAGCGCAUCCUCAUCAGCCUGCGGCCCCAGGAGCUGGUGGACGUCAUCAAGAAGGCCUACGUGCAGGAGGAGGAGCAUGAGAACUCGGAGGUGAGCCCGCGAGAAGUGGGCCACAACAUCUACAUCCUGGCGCUGCAGCUCUCCAGGCACAACAAACAGCUGCAGCACCUGCUGAAGCCGGUGAGGCGCAUCCAGGAGGAGGAGGCCGAGGGCAUCUCUUCCAUGCUCAGCCUCAACAACAAGCAGCUGUCUCAGAUGCUCAAGCCCUCGGCACCAGCGCUGGAGGAAGAAGAGGACCCGCUGGCCUACUACGAGAACCACACGUCGCAGAUCGAGAUCGUGCGGCAGGACCGCAGGAUGGAGCAGAUCGUGUUCCCGGUGCCCGCCAUCUGCCAGUUCCUGACGGAGGAGACCAAGCACCGGCUCUUCACCACCACGGAGCAGGACGAGCAGGGCAGCAAAGUGAGCGACUUCUUCGACCAGUCCUCCUUCCUGCACAACGAGAUGGAGUGGCAGCGCAAGCUCCGCAGCAUGCCGCUGAUCUACUGGUUUUCCCGCCGCAUGACCCUGUGGGGCAGCAUCUCCUUCAACCUGGCGGUGUUCAUCAACAUCAUCAUCGCCUUCUUCUACCCUUACGUGGAAGGCGCAUCCACAGGCGUGCUGGGCUCCCCGCUCAUCUCGCUGCUUUUCUGGAUCCUCAUCUGCUUCUCCAUCACCGCCCUGUUCACCAAGCACUACAGCAUCCGACCCCUCAUUGUGGCACUCAUCCUGCGCUCCAUCUACUACCUGGGCAUCGGGCCCACGCUCAACAUCCUGGGCACCCUCAACCUGACCAACAAGAUCGUGUUCGUGGUGAGCUUUGUGGGCAACCGCGGCACCUUCAUCCGGGGCUACAAGGCCAUGGUCAUGGACGUGGAGUUCCUGUACCACGUGGGCUACAUCCUGACGAGCGUCCUGGGCCUCUUUGCCCAUGAGCUCUUCUACAGCAUCCUGCUCUUCGACCUCGUCUACCGUGAGGAGACGCUGUUCAAUGUCAUCAAGAGUGUGACCCGCAACGGCCGCUCCAUCCUGCUGACCGCCCUGCUGGCCCUCAUCCUCGUCUACCUCUUCUCCAUCGUGGGCUUCCUCUUCCUCAAGGACGACUUCAUCCUCCAGGUGGACCGGCUGCCGGGCAACCACUCCCGAGCCAGUCCCCCAGGGGCGCCAGAGGGAGCUGCUACAUUUGUAGACACGUGCAGCGGGGACAAAAUGGACUGUGUGACGGAGGUCACGGUGCCCAAGGUCCUGGAAGAGGACGAGGAGCCCGACAGCACGGAGCGGGCCUGUGACACUCUGCUCAUGUGCAUCGUCACCGUCAUGAACCACGGGCUUCGCAAUGGUGGCGGCGUGGGCGACAUUCUCCGCAGGCCCUCCAAAGACGAGUCCCUGUUCCCGGCCCGAGUAGUGUACGACCUGCUCUUCUACUUCAUUGUCAUCAUCAUCGUGCUGAACCUCAUCUUCGGGGUGAUCAUCGACACCUUCGCUGACCUACGCAGCGAGAAGCAGAAGAAGGAGGAGAUUCUCAAGACCACGUGCUUCAUCUGUGGUCUGGAGAGGGACAAGUUUGACAACAAGACGGUGUCCUUCGAGGAGCACAUCAAGCUGGAGCACAACAUGUGGAGCUACCUGCACUUCAUCGUGCUGGUGCGUGUGAAAAACAAGACAGACUACACGGGCCCCGAGAGCUACGUGGCGCAGAUGAUCAAGGUGCGAGGGGCCUCUGGCCGUGGUUUCCUGUCCCCUGCGUGCUGGAGGAGUGGCCACAUCUGUCCACACAGUCCUGCAAGGCCGAAAGGUGGACAGCUGUGGACACCUGUUGGAAAGUCAGCUGGGGAACAAGAACCUGGACUGGUUCCCGCGGAUGCGGGCCAUGUCCCUGGUGAGCAGCGAGGGUGAGGGCGAGCAGAACGAGAUCCGGAUCCUCCAGGACAAGCUCAGCUCCACCAUGAAGCUGGUGUCCCAUCUCACCACCCAGCUCAACGAGCUCAAGGAGCAGAUGACAGAGCAGCGCAAACGCAGGCAACGCCUGGGCUUCGUGGACGUCCAGAACUGCAUGAGCCGCUGAGGAGAGCCUGAGAAGGCCCGCAGGGGCCGUGUCACUGGAGGCUGGCUGGGAACAGGGCUCUCCCUCUGGUCAGGCAGCUGGGCUGCCCGCCAGGCCCUCACAACGAGGUGCCCACCUCCCACUGUGCCAGUCCCCUCACCCCCAGCCAAGGCUGCCACCAGCCAGGAGGGAGCCUUAGCACUGACAGCCUUAGAGACAGGGAAAUUCCUGGGACUCAGUUUACCUAAAGCCUUCAGAGCAAUAACUGACACUGCUUCGUAGUCCGAGUGGGUGGUUAGGAGUAGGCCGCUCUCUAAGCACUACAUUUUGGUUGCUGCCCACCGCUGGAGGAGGUGGCAGUAUGCUGACUAGAUUUUAGGGCCUUCUUAUUUAACUUAUUCUGAGGGGCGUGCCCGGCUCCCUGCCUGGGUCUGCUGUGGACUGUGUGCAGAUGCCCUGCCCUCUCUUGUGACCUCUCCCCGGCUCCUGGGGAUGGGCUGAGCCCCGAGUGGCCGCUUUUGACUCCUGGUUUUUCUUUUGGUGUAAUGUUUUACAGCCCUUUGUCCCCAGAACUAAUAUGUUAAUUGCCUUAAAUAAAUUACUAGAAAUCUA